ensembl:snRNA U6 U6 spliceosomal RNA
GCGUUCGCUUUGGCAGCACAUGUACUAAAAUUGGAACAACACAGAGAAGAUGAGCACGGCCUUUGCGCAAGGAUGACAUGCAAAUUCAUGAAGUGGUCCAGAGUUUC